AUUGAACGCUGGCGGCGUGCUUAACCCAUGCAAGUCGAACGAGAACGGGAUAUAGCUUGCUAUAUUUGUCAGCUAAGUGGCGCACGGGUGAGUAAUGUAUAGGUAAUAUGCCUCUUACUAAGGGAUAACAAUUGGAAACGAUUGCUAAUACCUUAUAUGCCUUUAAGACUAAAGUCUGCAAGGGAAAGACUUAUUGGUAAGAGAUUAGCCUGUAUUGUAUCAGUUAGUUGGUGGGGUAAUGGCCUACCAAGACAAUGACGCAUAACUGGUUUGAGAGGAUGAUCAGUCACACUGGAACUGAGACACGGUCCAGACUCCUACGGGAGGCAGCAGUGGGGAAUAUUGCACAAUGGGGGAAACCCUGAUGCAGCAACGCCGCGUGGAGGAUGACACAUUUCGGUGCGUAAACUCCUUUUAUAUAGGAAGAUAGUGACGGUACUAUAUGAAUAAGCACCGGCUAACUCCGUGCCAGCCGCCGCCGUAAUAC
rnacentral:rRNA from 1 species